UACGUAGGGUCCGAGCGUUGUCCGGAAUUACUGGGCGUAAAGAGCUCGUAGGUGGUUUGUCGCGUUGUUCGUGAAACUCACAGCUUAACUGUGGGCGUGCGGGCGAUACGGGCAGACUAGAGUACUGCAGGGGAGACUGGAAUUCCUGGUGUAGCGGUGGAAUGCGCAGAUAUCAGGAGGAACACCGGUGGCGAAGGCGGGUCUCUGGGCAGUAACUGACGCUGAGGAGCGAAAGCGUGGGGAGCGAACAGG
rnacentral:rRNA from 1 species